GGUGUUAUGACUCAGUGGUAGAGUGCUUGUCUAGCAAGUGUGAGGCACUGGGUUCAAUCCUCAGCACCA
rnacentral:tRNA from 1 species